UCAUCUUGAACCAUUAACUUCCUUGAUUAAACAACUCUGAUAUGCUAGUUUCUUUUCUUCUUCUCAGGCACAGAAGAGCUCUGGAUGGCUUAAAUUUCGCUUGGAGAUAUCAAGUUCUCUCUGUUUAUGUUUCAGAAAUGGAAUAUCAUACAGGUUGCAUUUGAGCUGAGUUAGAAGUUUCUACUUAAUGUGAUGCAGUUGUUUGCCAAUUUUUUCUUUCGAAUAUUAACAUGAUAGAUAAUGUUAAUAACUAGUGUCUUUUUCAAAUGAUAGAUAAAACUCCUGAUGAAUUUAAACAUGUAUGCUUUCACAUUUUUAUCAGGAUCGAUUACAACAAAAAGGGAGCCAUUAAUGGUUCUGGUUGACAAUUUUGAGCAUGAGGAAACAAGCUCAAAACAGAAGAACAUGAUUUUAAAAGAGCACUUCAUCAUUUUCGAAUCAUGCUUGAUCUUCUGGCCUUGUACAGAGCUCUUCAAGGCAAAAAAAUUAGUAUAAAAGGGAUCGAGCUAGCUUGUUAAUGUAGUAGCCAAAUAGGACAUGCAAAAAUAGUCCACGGGAAGUAGCAAACGGGAAGAUUUGGUUAGAAGCAAUGAAGAAACUUGUGCACACAGUAAUUAUAAUAAGAAUGACAGAAAUUUACAGAAA